AGUGAACGCUGGCGGCGCGCUUAACACAUGCAAGUCGAGCGAAGCGGCGGACGGGUGAGUAACACGUGAGUAACCUGCCUUAGACAUUGGGAUAGCCUCGGGAAACCGGGAUUAAUACCAAAUGGUCUAAGAUGGACUCGCGUGCCAUUAGCUAGUUGGUGGGUAACGGCCCACCAAGGCGACGAUGGGUAGCCGGGCUUGGAGGGUGAACGGCCACAUUGGAACUGAGAAACGGUGCAAAAUCUACGGGAGGGAGCAGUGGGGAAUAUUGCACAGUGGAGGGAACUCUGAUGCAGCGACGCGGCGUAACCGAAGAAGGCUUUCGAGUCGUAAAGUUCUUUUAUAUGGGAAGCGGUACCAUAAGAAAAAGCCCCGGCUAACUACGUGCCAGCAGCCGCGGUAAUAC
rnacentral:rRNA from 1 species